UACAGAGGUCCCAAGCGUUGUUCGGAUUCACUGGGCGUAAAGGGUGCGUAGGCGGUUUGACAAGUCUGAUGUGAAAUCCCGCAGCUUAACUGCGGAACUGCAUUGGAAGCUGUUUGACUAGAGGAAUGGAGGGGAGACUGGAAUACUUGGUGUAGCAGUGAAAUGCGUAGAUAUCAAGUGGAACACCAGUGGCGAAGGCGAGUCUCUGGACAUUUCCUGACGCUGAGGCACGAAAGCCAGGGGAGCAAACGGG
rnacentral:rRNA from 1 species